rnacentral:rRNA from 1 species
CACGUAGGGUGCGAGCGUUGUCCGGAAUUAUUGGGCGUAAAGAGCUCGUAGGCGGUGUGUCGCGUCGGCCGUGAAAACCUGCAGCUUAACUGUGGGCUUGCGGUCGGUACGGGCAUCACUGGAGUUCGGCAGGGGAGACUGGAAUUCCUGGUGUAGCGGUGAAAUGCGCAGAUAUCAGGAGGAACACCGAUGGCGAAGGCAGGUCUCUGGGCCUCUACUGACGCUGAGGAGCGAAAGCAUGGGGAGCGAACAGG